CUCUGUAAUUGUCCAGGAUGUCCACCUUGUACAGAAGUAGUGGGAAAAUUUGUUGAGAUUGCGAGGAACGAAAAUGAUGCUAAGGGAAAAACAAUAGGUUAGUAAAUACAAUUUCAUACAUGAAGACUGAAUUACCAUGACUAAGGAAUAGUCGUGUUAUAACCCAUAGCUGGUUUUUAAAUCAAGAUCAUAUAGUAUAUUAAAACAUUACUUUUCAAUGGAAUUAAUCUACUUUAAAAAAACUUUGCAACACCACAAGAUUAUGUAAUAGCAUACCGACCAAAAUUUCAAAAUGCCUAUGGGCGUUUUACAUGCAAGAUGACUCCAAUAGUCCUAUUAAACCUUUCAAAUUUAUGAUUUGUUGUUUGUUUGCUUCUUCAUGUUUUUAUAAUCCCAUACCCAUUGUAAAAUUUAUUGUUUUGUUUUAAAUUGAGAAGAACAUUUUCAAAUGAGAGCCUCCAUAGGGGAAAUCCCCACAAAUAGUGACAGUUGGCAAGUAUGUAUAAGCCUAUUUGUAAAUACUGUUAUUGACCCUGUAAUGAGAGAUCCAUUUGUUUUGUUUAGUUAUUUCCCUUAGGAGGGACAUAAAUUUUCAUUUACAAAUAAGAGCUUACGGGAACAUUUUCAAAUCUUAUGAUAACAUUAAAUCCUUAUUUGUUUAGCUUGAAUCUUUUGAUAUCAACUUUAGCUUUUUUAUUAAAUAAAUAAGAAAAAAGUUGAUUAUAACAGAAUAAAAUUUGUAAUUGGCAAAUACACUAUCAUGAAUUCGAAGUGAAUGGUGACUUUCAAACACGAAUUUCGUGUUUGUCAUUGCCGGCGCGGGUAGAAAAGUACCUCCUGUGUUUUGAACAAACAAAUCAUAGAUAUCAUUAUUACAUUUUCGUACUUUAGACGUGCGUUUUGUCUACAAUAGACGCUUUCAUGAUGCUACUACGUCCUAAUUACGCUUCUACAACGAUCCCGCUACGAUUAAACCACGUUCUCACCGCGCUUAUUCUGCGACCUCACUACGCUUAUAAAGAUCUUUCUACGCUCUUCACGUUCUCACUACGACCAUACCACGAGUUAUCCGAUUGCAACACGAUCUUACUGCGAUUAUAGCACGUUCUUACCACGAUUACACUACGUUCAUACCGCGAUCUUACUACGUUCUCAGCAAUACCGUCAAUAUCGUGUUUCAUAUCAAUAUAGUUCCAUUCCUUCUAUUUCUGAUUAAAACAAGGAUUUCUCGGAAACAAUACAGUCAUGCCACCAAAAUCUACUAGAACACGUGGGCGUGGUGAUAGGGGUUGAUGUAGAGGCAGAGGGAGCAAAGUAUGAACGCCAUACUAAACUCCAAAUAGUACACAAGAAACUAAAAUUAAAAAUAGUACAAGACUAACAAAGGCCAGAGGCUCCUGACUUGGGACAGGCGCAAAAAUAGUGGGGUUAAACAUGUUUGUGAGAUCUCAACCCUCCCCCUAUACCUCUAGCCAAUGAAGAAAAGUAAACGCAGAACAAUACGCACAUUAAAAUUCAGUUCAAGAGAAGUCCGAGUCUGAUGUCAGAAGAUGUGACUAAAGAAAAUAAACAAAAUGACAAUAAUACAUAAAUAACAACAGACUACUAGCAGUUAACUGACAUGCCAGCUCCAGACUUCAAUAAACUGAUACUAUACACAUAAGUAGUAUAAUACUUAUCAUCAAGAAAUGUCGGAACGACCAAUCAAACCUAAAUUACAACCUAUUGCUGAUCCAUAAAGCUCAAAUGACGAUAUUUUAGUGAAAGAAAGCAGAGAUGACACAGAUGUGUCAAUAUAUAUAGGAAGAUUUGGUAUGAGUGCCAAUGAGACAACUCUCCAUCAACGUAAAAAUCUAUAAAAGUAAACCAUUAUAGGCCAAGGUACGGCCUUCAAUACGGAGCCUUUGCUUACACCGAACAGCACGCUAUAAAGGGCCAAAAAAAAUACUAAUGUUAAACCAUUUAAACGGGAAAAACCAACGGUCUAUUCUAUAUAAAAACGAGAAGCAUGGUUGAGCCGUUAGAGCAAAUGAAUAAAUACAUUCAGACAAACAAAAUCUAGGGAGUUUUUUUUAUAUAUUUUAUGUGAAAAUGACAAUAAAAAUGAUGGUCGUAGUGUGAACGUAGUAAGGUCGUGAGAAGAGCGUGAUGAGGACGGCAAGGGCGUGCUAGAAUCGUACUAUGGUCGUGAACAGCGUGGUAAAGUCGUAGUGGAAGCGUAGUUGGGUCGCGGUGAGAACGUGAUGGUCGUAGUAAGGUCGUGAGAACGUCGCUGUGAGAUCGUAGCGCAAUCUCUCCGAAUAGAAUCACGCUUUCGUUACGCUCUCGUUACGAUUGUACAGCGACCUUUGCGAUCUUACUACGAUCUUAGUUCGCUCUCACUACGCUUCUACUACGACCUGAUUUCGCCACGACCGCACCACGAUUGUUUUGAACAUGUUCAAAGUUGGCCACGCUCUUCACGAUCUUGAAGACCUCACCACGACCGUGGUACGACCUUACUGCGACCUACACGAUCGUACCACGAUCAUCAAAAUUUGCAUUUUUUUUCACAGAUCGUAGUGCGAUCGUGGCCUAGUGGGACUAGGGUAUUAGUCACUUAGCUUAUGAUGAAAAUACAAAAGACAAACAUGCUUGUACUGUGCGUACCCUGAUGUUCGGGCUCUCUUUAAAAGUAUCAUUAAAGAUGUGCAUGGUUAUAUUUAGCCUGAAAGGAAUGUUUGAACAGAGAAUCAAUGGAAGUCUGGCUUUCGACCAUUUACAAUCAAAAGGUAUGUUCUUUGAUAACUGAAAUAGAAAUCAAACUUACAUUAACUAAUUAAGAAGGUAUUAGAAAAGACAAUAAUUGUAUGUCUUAAUCUAGACAGGUUGUUUAUAAAAACAGACACUAAUACAAGUGUGUGGUCAAUUUGUUUUGUGUGCCAGACAACAAGAUACAGUUAGACAUGUACAUAUAUAUAUAAGACAAAAAAUCGUAAGGGUUGCGUGGAACCCAUUGUCUCGACUACGUUUGCCUACUUUUGCUGUUAAUCGCACACUCAACAAAAAUGGUAACAAAAAUCAAUAAAGAUAUUCCUCUUAAUAGUAUCUUUUGAUUAUCAAAAGCUUCUGUCCAAGUUUUGUAAAAAUCCAGGAUAGGUUAAGUAUCUUAAAAAAUUAAACACUUUAAUUGCAGACUGUGUGUAAUGUCAACUGGAAGAAAAACUAAGUCUAUUUAUAAGUAAAAUACAGAAAAAAUUGUGAAUAAUAUUUUUACAAAAUAUACUUCUGGAUACUAUCGUAUGAUCAUAAACAAGCUUCUGUCCAAGUUCGGUACAGAUUCAUGUUAGUUUAAGAAAGUUAUAAACAUUAUAAAAACUUUUACCACAGAGUGAAUGUAAUGUUUCCUGGCAGAAAAACUAAGUCCAUUUAUAAGUAAAAUACGGAACAAAAUGAAUUUCAUUUUUACAAAAUUUACUUCUGGAUACUAUCUUAUGAUCAUAAACAAGCUUCUGUUCAGGUUGGGUACAAAUCCAUGAUAGUUUAAGAAAGUUAUUAAAAUUAAAAAAAAUUUAACCACAGAGUGAAUGUAAUGUUUCCUGGCAGAAAAACUAAGUUCCAUUUAUAAGUAAAAUACGGAAAAAACUGAAUUUCAUUUUUACAAAAUUUGCUUCUGGAUACUAUCUUAUGAUCAUAAACAAGCUUCUGUCCAGGUUGGGUACAAAUCCAUGAUAGUUUAAGAAAGUUAUUAAAAUUAAAAAAAAUUUAACCACAGAGUGAAUGUAAUUUUCCUGGCAGAAAAACUAAGUCCAUUGAUAAGAAAAAUACUGAAAAAACUGAAUUUUAUUUUUACAAAAUUUACUUCUGGAUACUAUCUUAUGAUCAUAAACAAGCUUCUGUUCAAGUUUGGUACAAAUCCCUGAUAGUUUAAGAAAGUUAUUAUAAUAUCAAAAACUUUAACCACGACUUAAUAUUUAUGGACGCCGUCGACGACACCGAUGCCGACGGAAUGUAGGAUCGCUAUGUUACGCUUUUUCAACUGAAGUCGAAAGCUCGAAAAAGAUCAAUAGCUACAGCUUUUUUAAACACCCAAAUUUUCAACAGGGAAAAAUAACAAAGUUUAUGCAAGAAAAUUCUUAUCUAGCAUUAAUUUCUUUUACAUACAGACGAAAAAUUCUGGUAAGAUCAAAUAAUAUUCCUAUCAUACAAAGCUUUGGUGCUUCUUUUUGUAAUUAAUUGACGUGAAAAUGGUGACCGUAGCACAUUUUAUAUGAAACAUGGAAGUGCACCAUUCUAAAAUGGGUGCACAGGCUGUUUAUAUUUAAAUUGUUUUUAAUUCUUAGCACAUUGUAAGUUUAAGAUAAGUCAUUUUUAAGAAGACAAGUUCAUUUUUAGCCUAAUAUCUGAAAACCCUCUGCAUAUCCGAUCAUAAUUUUGAAAAAGAACAAAUAUCAUGAUUAUACAAAAACUGUUAUUCAUGUUAUUCAUCUACAUUUCCCUAAAUCAAGUGAUACAUUACAGUCUCCCUACCUAAAUACUUACUGCGGAUCCAAACAAUGUUUCAUUGUUGUUCACCAAUAGUUUCUGCUUUUCAAACGUAAUUGUAUUAUUGCCCUCUGCAUCACAUGGUACGAAUAGAUCCAUGACCUCAUAGCACAAAUGUGAAUAUUUUUGUGUGUUGUUUUCCUCUUUGUAUCCAGUCAAUACAACAGAACAUGGCGGAUGUAAAGGGUAAUCAUCUGAUGUAAUGACAAAAGUCUUGUUUUCUAAAACUCCAUAAUGUUGAUUACACUUGUGUCCAUACUGUCUUCCCAAUACCACUAACAUACAUUUUUAAGUAAAAGGAUUACAUAUAUGAAAAUAAGAAUUAAUUUAAAAGUAAGGAAUCAAAUAUAAGAAAUAAAUGUUUUUGAAAAAAUUGCCUAUCAUGUAUCAACCUACGGUCGAAAUUGGUUUACCUAUUAGAGAAAAAAUGGUUACUGCAAAAUGAGUAAAAACAAAUAAAAACACAUAUAAAUGGGUUGCACAAACGUAUAAAUUAACUGUGGAAAAUAUGAGAGAGACUUGUGACAAUGUAUAGAAUCCAUUUGUCAUUUUGAAAAAUAAAAUAUGUUUAAAUAUAAAUGUACAGAAUGAAUAAAUCAUAUAUUGACAGAUACAGGCGAAUGUAUAUAUUUACAUUUUCAUUUGUUUUCCUGAUUCUCUCAAAAUUUUGAUGUAUUUAUUUCAGACAAACUUUUAAUAGCUUCAUAUAUCAUGCAAAAACCGCAGCAUGAAUACAAUAUAAUAAAUAAAUGAUGCAUGCAUAUAUUAUAUAUCAGGAUGAUUUUCUGGCAACAUAUAUUGAAAACGUUAUACGUAAUUUAUAAUUUUUGACAGUUCACAUAAUAACUUCAUGAUAUAUAGUCUGGGAGUUUUCUUCAACUCUCUCUUUCUUAAAAUACGGAGCUAUCGUGCAACAGUAUUAUACAAAAACUUACAUUUCUUCUGACUAAAUUCAGGAAAGCAGUAUCUAGAAGAUAUUAUCGCCACAAGGAAUAUAAGCUAUAAAUGUGAACAAUAUUGAAUUAAAAUACUAGUGUUUUGGAUAUAGGAUUAGAAUAAAAAAUACAGUCUGAUCUUCAAUUAGAUCUAGAGUCAGUCAAGGUUUCAAGUUUCAAGUUUUUAUUUCUCAAGACCCUUAACCAGGGUAUUUGAACAAAUACAAUUGAAUACAAUAUAACAAAAUAGGUUGAUUCAAUGAACAAGUUAACAUAUAUACAUGAUAUACAUUUCCAAGUAUAUGGAAGACGGACAAUAUGGAUAAACAUGAACAGUAACUUCAAUCAUUUUAAUAAAGAAAGUAUGAUUUUACAAAAUUUUGCAGCUUUGAAAAUAACAUUAUAAUUGUCUGACUUAAAUAAAGCAUGUUUAUAAACAUUUAAAUUUGUAGUGAAUUCUUUUGGCAAUAACAUUUUCCUCUCGUUUUUUAAAUAAGAACAUUGAAAUAAAUAAUGAAAUUCAUCACCUACUGAGUGACAGUCACAAGUAUUACAAAUUAUAUCAUCUCUUGUUAUUCCCCAAAACCUGCCCUUUUCAACUGGCAGUUUAUUAUCAACACAUCUUAAAUUACAUAAAGAUUUCCUUGUAUUAAACAUCUUUCAAAACAAUGGUUUCUUUUUAAGAUUAUGAGGGAUAUCUUAUUAUGCUAUUUGUACGGUAGCCGGUUAGCACCCCAUUACGACAUAUUUUUUUUAGUGUGACGUUUUACCAGCUUCCGUAGUUUUAAUAAUCAAAAUUGUAUUCAAACUACCUACAGCGAAAAAAGUAGUAAAACAUUUUUCCCGACUUUAGUUUAGCCUUUCGUGUACUCAAGGCAGGGAAAUUCAGUUGUGAUUGGAUGUAAGGGUAUAAUGUUUUCCGUGUAUUUAUCGAUAACUGCAAUAUGUAAAUUUACAUUUAUUUAUAAACUUUCGGAAACACAUUGAGAAUAUUUUAAUAUGAAUUAUUCGAAGAAGCUUCAAAUGUUGAUACCAGUAUAUUGAUACAAUAAACAAGCUCUGCUCCAAGAUUGUUUUAUGGUACCAUUUGACUUUACUGAUCUAAAGAAAGUUAGUAUAUUGUCGAAAAUGGAAGAAUAUGUCAUAAUGAUACCGCGUGCCCUUUACAAUUGUCAAUUCCUGAACCGUUACGGUAAUACAAUUAUACAGAGCAUUAAACAACAUCAAUUUUUAAAAAUAUAUAACUUUGUCUUCUAUUAAAGCAUCAGUUAGAUAUCAAGACAAAUAUAUAUAUUUGAGAAUAAUAUUUUUAUAAGUAGUGUUUUGUACAGUAUAUUACUUUUUUUUUGGACUAUAUAAAUGGUGUUUUCUGACUUGUACGGUAGGGAUAAUAUUUUUUUAAUUAUGACUUAGUAUACAUGUAUUAACUUUUUUAAAACAUGCAUUAUGAUAUAUAAAUUUUAGGAAGUUUUAAAUAAAUGAGAAUUGCCGCUAUAAUGUCAUUAUAGAUUUCAAGUUCUGAUAACUAAAGAGUCUAAUAGAUGUUAAGCUAUGAUAACUGUCACUAAAAUGUUGAUGUAGAUUUUGUAUUAAGAUAAAUGUCAGUUAAAUGUUCAUAUUACUCCCCAUAACAAUUGUCACUAAAAUUAUAUUGUAGAUUUCAUAUUAUGAUAAGUGAAGGCGGCGUUUGAGGAGAACAUAAGUUUAAAAGAGCGGCAAAAGAUACCAAAGGGACAUUCAAAUGCAUAAGUCGAAAACAAAUAAACUGAAAACGAAAUGGGAAAAUAUAAAAAAAAAACACGACAUAAGGAAACGUUAAAGUAUACAUAACACUCCAGCAACACGCAAUCCGACACAGUCUAUGGUUCAAAAUAAAUAAAACCAAUCCCUUGGUUGUAGCGUAAUCAAUGAUCACUGACAAGACAUGCAUCAAAUCACAAGGAAGCUUCAUCAAAUCGGCGCAUUAAAUUUGCGCGACACAUUUUACACGAUUGCACGGCAGGCAUUCCAAAUAUCCGCAAAAUUUACAAAGUACCCACUUAAGUCUUUUGUGCAGAGACAGAAUCAAAUUUUGUUAAAAAUUGAACAUUUUAAAAUUUCUAAUAGGGGGAAUUUCAGGCAUAUCACUGGGUAACAACUAGCAGGAACCACACUGACAUAUACACGUAUAGACUGUUCCUGUCGAGCACAUUUAUACAAACUGUUAAUACAGACUAAAUAAGGCCGUUAGUUUUCUCGUUUGAAUUGUUUAACAUUGUCUUUUCGGGGCCUUUUAUAGCUGACUAUGCUCAUUGUUUAAGGCCGUACGGUGACCUAUAGUUGUGAAUUUCUGUGUCAUUUUGGUCUCUUGUGGAGAGUUGUCUCAUUUUCAAUUACACAGCAUCUUCUUUUUUUUAUAUGCUUUAUAUCACAUAAAAUGUUCCUUUAAAGAAAAUACACAAUUAUCAGACAUUUGGUGCUAUUUUAUGUUUCAGUAAAAUAGCUAGACACCUCUAUAUAAAUAUAUCUUUAUUCUUGAUUUAAAACAAAAUACUCGAAAUGUUAUACCAUUGAACAGUUUGUUCGCAGAAAUGUCAUACCUGUCAAAAUUUUAAAUUCACGCAAUUGUGGUUCGUACCAUGAAAUAACCAACAAACAGAUAGAAAAAAUAUUAACCAAAAACUUGCAAUGAAAAAAAGAACCCAAAAUGACAACGGGUUCAUCUCUGAGUACUCGUUGUUAUAAAAUAGUAAGUCGAAUCCCAAUUCUAUUUCAUAUUUGAGAAACAAAAGCUUUAAAAUAAUGUAUUUAAUUUAAACAUUUUAUACACACAUAAACUGAAUAAUUACACAAUUAAAUUCAAAUUUCGAUCGUUAAAGAAAAAAAGAAUACAUGAACAAUCUUUCUUUUUAUAAAGAUGGCAAUCACAAAUAAAAUUUGGUUCAUCAUGAAGUUGCAGAGACAUACACACCUAUCAUUUUUUUUAAAGACAGAACUUCCGCAUUUAUAAAGCACUUUAAAUUUCUUAGAAAACAUCUUUCUGAAAAUUUAUCAAUUUAAAGAAACAAGCUUACCGUAGUAUGUAUUACUCGUGUUUGUGCCAUUGCAUGGGUUCAUAAAAAUCAUUAUCAUUAUAUUUCAUAUACUUUGACAGAUGUGAAAUGUACAUAUUGGACCAUUAUCACUAAUAUAACGUUCUUCUUGACAUAAACUAAUAUGGUGUCACUGAAAAUUGCAUUUACAAAUAGUAUACAACAGUAGAGAUAUAUACAUAAAUAAUAAAUCAUUUGUCGGGUAAUGAAUUUCUUUUGAUAAAUGCAUAGAAAUCUUGCAGAAGGAUUAUUUAUUUUCUCCGACUUUAAUAUAUUUAAUAAAAAAUUAUAAACAUAAUGGUUUAUUCCGUAUAAAUAAUCUUCUUACAUGAACAUAGAUAGAAACGACCACAGAAAAUAUCUCAAGAUGGCUCAAACAUUUCCAAUGUUGUAUUUACUCCAUUUUCCAACAUAACGACAUCAUUCAAUUUAUUUCCAUAAUGUAUUGAAACAAUUAAAAUUAAGGCCAUUUCUUAGAAACCUGAAAUGGUAUAAACUCAUCAAUGAUCCUUCUGUUUAUGAUAUCAUGUGAUUACCGCUAAAAUGAAUCAAUAAAUGUCUCACUUCUAGUAUCAAAUGAUUAAAUUGAUAUUUGUAUUUUAUCGCUGAUACUAGUAGUCAAGGGUGCCAUUUUCACAGAAGUAAGUAAUUCAAUGCUUGCUAGCUUGAGCCUUUUGCGCUAUGCUGUUAAAAUAAAAUAAAGAUCUGAACAAAAAGUAAACAUCCAGAUUGCAAAAAAUACAGAACUAGAUUUGUAAACAUGGUUUGUAAUACAUAGCUUGAGAUAUAUAACAGACACAUAUUAAUAUCAAUGGUACCCUGCAAGAGUCAAAAGAGUCAAACAGAGAGGUGGAGGCAGCUGCAACUCCAAUAAACAACCUUUUAAAAGAGGAGCGAAAGAUACCACAGGGACAUUUCAACUCAUAGAUAAAAAAUAAACUGACAAAGCCAUUUGUAACUAUUGGUUUAAUAGCUUCCUUGUGAAUAGCAACCCUUUACAAGGAAAUCAUGAUAGGAAAUACAAGCCCGAGAAUAUCGUAUCAAUUGGGAGAGAUAUACUCCGUAUGCAGGCGCUGCUUGAAUGUUGCUACAUAGAAAUUGAAAGUUUACAAUUAUGAAGCUGAAAUCAUCUCUUUUAUCGUUAAGUUUUGUUUUCAACCUACCUUAUUUGUCAAUUUCCAGAUGAAACAAGAUAUGAAGCAGCAGACUUAACUGUAUCUAUUGUAUCCUUUAUCUCUAGUACGAUGGGAUAGAUGCGUUCAACAUAGUCACCAAAUUUUUGAAUUAUUUAGUGAGAGAACAUCAUCUUUAUAACAGAAAGUUAAGUUAAAGAUAUUGCUAACUGCUUUUCUUUCUUCCUAAGAAGUUUAUGUAUGAAGUCAGCCUCGUACGAAUAAAGGAACAAGUCAGCAAGAAGAGGGGCAUAAUUGGUUCACACGGGAAUGCCUAUAGUUUAAUGAAAAACACGUCUUCUAAACGUAACAAAUGUGUUGUCUAUCAAGAAAUCAAAUUUUCAUGAAGUUAUCACAGUCAAAUUUUAAGAAUUACUAUGAAUUAUCUAGCUAGGUUUUUACUUUACACAGUUAGGUUGACAAAUACACAAUUAGAUUUUUAUGUGUUUUUGUGAACUACAAACCAUACAAAUGAACUAAAAUUAAAAAAAAAAAACCAUGCAAAACUAAUAAAGUCCAAAGGCUCCCGACUAGGGACAACAGCAAAAAUGCGGUGCAUGGGGUUAAACAUGUUUUGUGAAAUCUCAACCCUCCCCUAUACCUCGGGCCAAUGUAGAAUAAAGAAGCAAUAUGCGCAGUUAACACCAGUUUAAAAAAGUCCGAGUCAGAUGUUAGAAAAGGUAAGAAAAGAAACUAAGCAAGAUGACAAUGAUAGAAUGAAAUUCAAAACAGUGUGGUUGUGGUCAAAUGAUUGACACAUUAAAUUCAUCCAUUGACUGGGACAAUUUAGUGAACGUUUGUAUGUAACAACUACUGCUCACUAUGUACUUUUUAAAGACACCUAAAUUGGGUCACCAAAGGUUCUCAAACCUUAAUAAAGUAAUUCGAAAACUAAUCAGAAAUAACACGAUGUUUUUGAUUAUAUCAAUUAUAUAAAUCAAAACAUAAAGGUUAUUCCUGAUUAAUUUUUUGAAUUAUUUUAUAAUUAAAGGCGUUAAGAAACCUUUGGUGACCCCACAGUUUAAAUGUCUAUCUUAGGUACGUCGUGAACAGUGGUCGUUACAGACAAACGUUCAUGUAAAUUGUCCCAGUCAAUGGAUGAAUUUAAUGUGUCAAUCAAUGGCCACAGCCACACUGUUUUGAAUUUCAUUCUACAUAAAUUAGCAAAUGAUUACUAGCAGCAACUGACAUGCCAGCUCCACACCUCAAUUAAACUGAUUAAAAGAUUGUGUCUUCAUCUUAUACAAAUCAAACACUAUCCCUCCCGUUAGGGGUUUAGUAUCAUAUCAUCAUAAAAUAUAUGAGAAGAAUAUAACUCGUACCAUGUUAGAAUUUAAAGGUGUCUAUUUCCGAUGCAAAGACCAUACGAGUGAACCAAUAUUAAUAACAAAGUAUGCAACCUUAAUGACCUGAUAACAUUUAUAGCUAUAUCCUUUCUGAAUAAGUCUGUUUACAGGUUUGUUCAGGUUUUUAAGUGAAUAUUGACAUUUUUGUGCUUUGUAAAGAAUAUUAUCAUUAAAGAUUGGAUGUGAAACACCUGAACGUUUAAGAUGUCUGCAUGUUGAUUUGUAUUUACUAGUGAUGUCCUUGUUCCGAUGAUAAAAUUUAGUAAAUGCUUUGACUAGUUUGUGACGUCGAAAACCAAGUUGUAAUAUUUUUUCAGUAAUUCAGAGAUUUCUUCCAUUAAAAUCAAAUAUUUUUUUACAUAUACGAGCGAAUCGAACAAGGUGAGAUAUAUAGACUCCAUAAGAGACAAGGGAACGUCAUCAUUCUAAUAAUAACUAUUUAAAAUAGGAAAAUAAAAAUCAUCUCUUUUAUGAGAGCCUGUCUUAUGAGGACGUCAUGAGUGAGUGCAUCCUGAAAGGAAUAUUUUAAUCUAUCUUUAUUACAUUGAAAUUGUCUGUAUGUUUUUUUAUGGUUAGAUCUUGUUUUAGACUAGUUUUUUAUUUGUAUAUCUUGUGGUGGAACUGUAAUUUCAUUAUUUAUGAUUUUGUUGAACAUUAGGAGUCUCGGUUUUAACCUCCGUUCUUGUAAGGUUUGCCAGUGUAGAAUUUGCAGCAUUUCGGUCAUACUGCUGAUAUUGUGAUAUCUGUUGCAAUUAUAUUGUGCAGCUGCACUUGUUCCAGUCUGUAUACAAUGCAUAUUUUCUGAGGUCUGUGAUUCCCAAACUGUGCAUCACUGUUCUAAUUUUGACCUUACUUUAGCUUGAUUAGGUAUUUAUUUAACUAAUGUUGAGUUAAGGUUUAGAUUUCGUUCGAUAAAUGAUAUACAUAUUGAUUUGCCUUUGCUGCUGAUCGAGACGGAUAGAAACUUUUUAUUUAUACCGCUGCUCCACUAGGCCACGAUCGCACUACGAUCUGUGAAAAAAAUGAAAAUUUUUACUAUUAUAAUGCGAUCGUGCAGAUCGCAGUAAGGUCGUAGUACGGUCGUGGUGAGGUCUUCAUGUUCUUGAUGAGCAUGGCCAACUUUGAACAUGUUCAAAACAGUCUUGGUGCGGUCAUGACGAAAUCAAGUCGUAGUAGAAGCGUAGUGAUAGCGCAGUAAGGUCGGGGUUGAGAUCGCAAAGGUCGCUGUACCAUCGUAGCGAAAGUGCGAUUCUAGUCGGGGAGACUGCGCUACGAUUUCACAGCGACUUCACUACGACCAUCACGUUCUUACCACGACCCAAACACGCUUCCACUACGACUAUACCACGUUUAUAUGACCCGAAAAUUGUUCGUUCAAAGUUCACAUUUAGGAUUUUGUAUAUUUCUAUAAUAAUUCAUUAGUUUAUUGUAUUUUACGCUAUUCAAAAGUUACAUGUAUAGCUAGACUAUUUGCUGGGUAUUAAAAUGAAGAUUCAAGUCGGUAUAAAGUUUAACAAUUUAAUAAACGAUCCAACAAGAAUAUAAACGAUGUUACAAUAUUGAGUCCGGUGUUUACGGUUUAAGAACCUAUCCAAAACUGAAUAUAAAUCAUUUUUAAGAAGUAUAUAAAACAGAAUAAUUUAGAAAUACAUGUAACAACGGAUUAGGAUUAUUGUCCAUUGUUCAGAUAAUCUGCUAAAAACUGUUCUUUGACACGUAGAUACGAAGUCCAUUAUCGAUUGUAGAAAUACAGUUUAAACCAAGAUUAUGGUGUGAAUAUUUGAGCUAAUGAGAGAAAGUAGUAAUUAAAGUCAAAGAUGUAGUCCAAAUAAUUAGCAUCCUUUACGCGCGUCAUAUUUGCCCCUCUCGCAGAAUCUCGUCCAGGGAAUUUGAAUUUUAUAACUAUAUUUUUUCCACGUAUUGAUAGUUACGCCUGAUUGAUGAUAAUCCUGAAUUGUUCGAGUGUUGUUUUUAAUUGUUCUAGUUCUUGUCGUAAUUUUUUACAAAUUGCCUUUAAAUCAAUCACUUUUUCUAACUACAUUGACAUUCUGAAACAUCAUACAAUGUAUUUCCAAUUUUUUUUUCUUCUUUUAUUCAGUGAUAUAUAGUCUGUUAUGUUGCGUGUCCUUUCUCAUUAUCUUUGUACGUGUUCUCCAGUUCGAUAAUUUUAGCGUCUCGAAUUUUAAUUGUUUCCUCGAGCUUCGAGUAUUUUCUAGUUCUCUUGUCAAUUCAUAAUGUAGACGUAUGGAUGAAAUGUUUGUCUUCCAAUUGAGUUUUUAAAGCCUAAAUGGGAACUUUGAACGAACAAUUGUCGGGUCAUACUACGAUCAUACCAGUACGUUCAUAGCGCGAUCUUACUACGCUCCCAGCAAUAAUGUCAACAUCGUGCUCCAUAUAAAUACUGUAUCAUUCCUUCUAUUUCUCAUUGAUACGUAGAGUUUCUCGGAAACAACGCAGUCAUGCAACCAAAAAUUUCGUAAGGAUAAGAGUAGAGGUAGAGGCAGAGGGAGAUCUGAUAGUAACGAAUCAUGAUCCAGAAGAUAUAUCGGACGACCAAUCCAACCUGAACACAACUUAUUGCUGGUCCAUCAAGAUCAAAUGACGAUACUUUAGUGAAUGAUAGUAGGGAUGACACUGAUGUGUCAAGACUGAUUGAUCCGUUGGAUAUAAAGGACAAGAUGUCUUAAUUACAUACAGACAAACAAAAGCUGGACAGCUUUUAUAAAUUUUAUAUGACAAUGAGUAUGAUGAUAGUAGUAUGAACGUAGUCGGGUCGUAAGAACAGCGUGAUGAGAACGGCAUGGGUGUGCUAAAAUCGUACUAUGGUCUUGAACAGCGUGGUAUAAAUAUGACCAGGUUGUUGGUCACCUCGGUCAUAUUAGUUAGUUUCUGGGGGAAACUAGCGGUAGUUGAGAUAAAGUCCAAGUCGCUGGAAAGUUUACAUAUUUAUUUCAUAUCCAUAUAUUUCAAAUAUUAAAACAUAACUAAAUAAUCUAAAAACAAAUAUAAAAUACAAAUUCAAAAGAUUAAUUGACAUACGGAAAAUUAACCAAUCAAAUAUCUUUUUAUUAAAUAAUAUUAUUCGCAUUUUGCCGAAAGCGGGAUUACGGAUACAAAACAUGUUCGUAUAGUUUUCAAGAAUGGCUUCGACAGUUAUCACUUAGGUCAAAUUAUCUAUGUUCUUGUACAGAAUCUUUGAUCUUAAGACGGAUAUACAUCUUUUUGAUAAUUAUCUGAAUGACGGAUUAUAAUAAAGUUAAAAUACAAGUAACUUUGAAUAGCAUAAAUACAAAACUAAUAAAUUAUUAGAACGAAUCAGACUCGGAAUAAUAAAAGCAUAGAUUAUAGAAAUAUACAAAAUCCUAAAUGUGAACUUUGAACGAACAAUUGUCGGGUCAUAGUAGUAUGUCGUGGUAAGAGCGUGCUAUAAUCGCAGUAGAAACGUGGUAAGAUCGUGUUGCAAUCGGACAAAUCGUGGUAUGGUCGUAGUAAGGACAUGAUAAGCGUAGAAAGAUCGUGAUAAUCGUAGUGAGAUCGCAGAAUAAGCGUGGUGAGAACGUGGUAUAAUCGUAGCGGGAUCGUUGAAGAAGCGUAAUGAGUACGUACUAGCAACGUGAUUGAAACAACAAUUUAUAUUUUCAUGCCGCUCAUAUAUAUACUGCAAGCUCAUCACGAUCUGAAUUUAUUUUAGAUCGGGUGACUCAUGGUGCGAUCGUGUUAGUGUGACUGGUUCAAGAGCGGUGAAAGUAAAAUUGACACUUAAUUAACGUUCAGAUCCUUAAUCUGCCAAUCAACGAUAUUCUAAUAACUUAUCACCAUCAUUGAGAUGUAAAUAGUCUUGGCCGUCUGCAAAAUUAUGUGCUUAAGUAAGAUUUGUCUGAACGGACGAAUAUUUCUAUAUAUUUAACGAAAAUUGACUAUGAUUUUGAAUUUUAACUAGUGUUUUUAUGUACCGGGCCCUGUUCACUGACAUGUUUACUCAUCUCACUGAGGUGGUUAUGUAGUUAUACGAUGCGAUGGAGAAGUUAUUCAGUGGUUGCCGUUGGUUCAUUAUCCUGUCAUAUUUGUUUCGUGAUUAAUUGUGGUUAUCUGAGUUGAGAUAUUUCACAUUUUGUUAUGUACAGCCCUUUUAAAGCUGAUUAUACGUAAUGUGUUCUAUCAAUUGUUGAAAACCGUGCGGUUACUUUAUGUAAUGAAAGCACAUUGAUAUCAAUUGUUACAACGAAAGAUACUUCAACAUAUUAAUUUUAAAAACAAUAUUACAAAUUUCAAACCGAUAUCGAGUUGUUGUAAACAAGCAAAGACCGUCCCCAUUUUGCGAGCGACAUGAAGAAGCAUAUUAUUAAAUUGACACCCUUUAUAAACCAUUUUUGACAGUGAUGUGAUUUUUUCAAGUCUCCAUUACAUGUAUUUUCCUGGCUAUGAAUAUGUCUAAGAUUUUUUAAAAACAUAAGAAUUCGAUUAGAUUUAAUAUGCAGAAUGAAAAGAUAAUUCAUCGCUCGUCAUAGAUUGUCUUGGAGUUAACAGACAUAAUCGUGGUCUUCUUCCGAGGCUGAAAACAAAAUGAAAUAUGAUUAUAGUUCACGUUCAAACAAGACUGCAAAAGUUUCUAAUUUGAUACAAUUAAAUAACAUUUUCUUGUAGCAUUUUGAAUAUGUAUGGAUAAAUGAGUUUGUGUUUCAGUGCAGUUCAUCUACACUAGACAAAAAAUACCCGAUAAACGAUAGAAAAUUGAAAUAAGGAAGAUAUAGAAUUUUUCUGAGAUAAAUAUAUGCUUUCAUUAGAAUUGAUGAAAUUUAUACAAACCUCAGUGAAUCGAAUAAUACAACAUCUUUUUACACUGUAAAUUUCGUAAAAAAGACCGAUGUUAGAAUGCUGACUUGUAUGUUCUUUAUCUACUAUAAUUUCAGCAAAACACACAUACAUGUGUAAAAAUGAUCACACAACGACAAAAACACUUAGAGUAGUCGACUGAACUAUUUGACUUAUUUAAAGAUGUUGCCACAAAGUAACCCAAAAUGUUACACGACAUGUAAUCUAAUUCAGGUUCUCGGUCGAAUAUAUUGUGCUUUAAACCGAGUGUUUCCAAAAACUCGAUUGAUAAAAUUCUGUAUGCUUUUCUUAUUUUCACUAGUACAGUGUGCAUUUGAUCAAUUGAAAUCGAAUUUUCGCUUUUCUUCGGCUUAUGAAUUUUAUUGUCCUUUGGCAUUUCGCGCCGCUCCUUCUAUGUCGAUUCCAUUUUCACAUGUAUAAUGUAAAGUUCGUUUAUAAUUUAAUAAAAUACCAGAAUUACAAGUUGUCUGAACAGAUAUAUUUGGUUUCAUUCGCCUACAUACGCUUGAAAUAAAACAAAAAACCUACCUGGAUGAAUAGAAAAGAAUUUCCCAAUUACUGAUUAGAGAAAAGUCCAAACCAUAUUGCUUGAUUUUGUUCAAGUUGUAUUACUUGUAUUUUUUUUAUAGCUGUCCAAAACAACACACCUUAAGAUGAGGUCAAUAAAUAGAUUUGACUAAUAAAUAAAACGUCUUUUAUAAAAAGAAAAAAACCUAUACCAGCAUCAUUGUUGUCGAUUUUUCCGUCGAUAUCGUCUGAACCAUCGCCUGGAUUUCUUUUACCGGUUUCUUCUUUAACACUCCGGUUUCGAAUAUUAUGUCGAACAAGGAGCAGAACCACAGGAAUAAACAAGCUAGUGACUACACCUCCCAUGAUUGUUAUCAGAUUGUUGAAAUCUGUAAUAAAGACAUUAAUUGAAUUUUAGUAUGUUCACAUCUGAACAACAAAUAUAUCGUAUUUCAAUUUUACAUGUCAUACUGCUUUUUUUUUCACUGUCUUUUAAAUGUUACAAUUGAAACGUGAUUAUUGAAAUGAAAACUUUCGAUCUAGAAGAUAAAUAAUUGUAUAAUAAGAAACAUUGCAUCUGUUUUGUUAAACACUUAUUUCAUGCUUCUAUGAAGGACUUUUACUUCGCUUUAUUCCAUUCGUUCGUUUAGAUGAGGUUCUAAAGUUGUGAAAAGGCUGUUAUACGAGAGGAUUAAAAAUCAUCAAUUCAUUUUCAAAUUUGGGAGGCGUAAAACUGCGAUUUGUUAUUUCUCUGCAAUAAGAUUCAUUUUAUAGAACUUGAAAGUGAAAAUAAAAUUGUCGUGCCGGAAGAGUGGCUAUAUACUCCUCUUCUAGUAAUAUCAUACAAAGCCUGUAAAUAUAUGGGAUGAAUCUAACUAUUUUUCAGACAAUCGUUUUAUUUCCUUAUUUAAUUGUUCCGUUAUUAAAAAGAGUAAAGUGUACUUUAUAAGUAAGACUAGUUUGACUUGUAAAUCCCCACAAACUCUUUUAUUACAGCAAAAUGUACUAUCUUCUUUCUUUUCGGAUUUAAAUGUAUAAAGAUUGCAUUUUAUUAUGUUCUAUGACAUUUGGUCUCUGGUACAAUGUUGUCUCAUUGACGCUCAUACCAUAUCUUCUUAUUUUAUAUAGACUAUUAUGUUACCCAAAUACAUAUAGUGUGCACGUGGUGUUUGUUGCUUGCGUUACUUCCAAUGGGAAAUAUUUCAUGCAUAUUCAGUACAACCAAAUAUUUAGAAGUAUCCAUAUUAACGUCCAAAAAAAAUUGCCACCGAAAUAAAAAUUAUCUUCAAUAAUCGGCAUAAACCGUUAAAUUUUGACGUUACCAAUUGAGACGUAAUAUCGUACGUAAUGUCUUAGCAAAUGGAAUAAAGCGAAGUAAAAGUCCUUCAUAGAACCAUGAAAUAAGUGUUUAACAAAACAGAUGCAAUGUUUCUUACUAUACAAUUAUUCAUCUUCUAGAUCGAAAGUUUUCAUUUAAAUAACCACGUUUCAAUUGAAACAUUUAAAAGGACAGUGAAAAAAGCAGUAUGACAUGUAAAAUUGAAAUACGAUAUAUUUGUUGUUCAGAUGUGAACAUACUAAAAUUCAAUUAAUUUCUUUAUUAAAGAUUUCAACAAUCUGAUAACAAUCAUGGGAGGUGUAGUCACUAGCUUGUUUAUUCCUGUGGUUCUGCUCCUUGUUCGACAUAAUAUUCGAAACCGGAGUGUUAAAGAAGAAACCGGUAAACGAAAUCCAGGCGAUGGUUCAGACGAUAUCGACGGAAAAAUCGACAACACUGAUGCUGGUAUAGAUUUUUUUCUACUUUCAAAAGACGUUUUAUUUAUUAGUCAAAUCUAUUUAUUGACCUCAUCUUAAGGUGUGUUGUUUUGGACAGCUAUAAAAAAAAUACAAGUAAUACAACUUGAACAAAAUCAAGCAAUAUGGUUUGGACUUUUCUCUAAUCAGUAAUUGGGAAAUUCUUUUUCUAUUCAUCCAGGUAGGUAUUUUUUUUUUAUUUGCAAGCGUAUGUAGGCGAAUGAAACCAAAUAUCAUCUGUUCCAGACAACUUGUAAUUCUGGUAUAUUUUUUAAAAUAUAAACGAACUUUACAUUAUACAUGUGAAAAUGGAAUCGACAUAGAAGGAGCGGCGCGAAAUGCCAAAGGACAAUAAAAAUUCAUAAGCCGAAGAAAAAGCGAAAAUUCCGAUUUCAAUUGAUGCAAAUGCACACUGUACUAGUGAAAAUAAGAAAAGCAUACAGAAUUUUAUCAAUACUGAGUUUUUGGAAACACUCUAGUUGUAUAAGCACAAAUAUAUUCGACCGAGAACCUGAAUUAGAUUACAUGUCGUGUAACAUUUUGGGUUACUUUGUGGCAACAUCUUUAAAUAAGUCAAAUAGUUCAGUCGACUACUCUAAGUGUUUUUGUCGUUGUGUGAUCAUUUUUACACAUGUAUGUGUGUUUUGCUGAAAUUAUAGUAGAUAAAGAGACAUGACAAGUCAGCAUUGCUAACAUCGGUAUGAUUUUUUACGAAAUUUACAGUGUAAAAAGAUGUUGUAUUAUUCGAUUCACUGAGGUUUGUAUAAAUUUCAUCAAUUCUAAUGAAAGCAUAUAUUUAUCUCAGAAAAAUUGCUAUAUUUCCUUAUUAUCAUUUUCUAUCCGUUUAUCCGGUGGUAUUUUUUGUCUAGUGUAGAUGAACUGCUAACUGGCAAACACAAACUCAUUGUUAUCCAUACAUAUUCAAAAUGCUACAAGAAAAUGUAUUUAAGUUGUAUCAAAUUAGAAACUUUUGCAAGUCUUGUUUGUAGAACGUGAACUAUAAUCAUAUUUUCAUUUUGUUUUUCAGCCUCGGAAGAAGACCAACACGAAUUAUGUCUGUUAACUCCAAGACAAUCUAUGACGAGCGAUGAAUUAUCUUUUCAUUCUGCAUAUUAAAUCUAAUCGAAUUCUUAUGUUUUUAAAAAAUCUUAGACAUAUUCAUAGCCAG
rnacentral:lncRNA from 1 species